GGGCCCGUAGCUCAGUCUGGUAGAGCAUCCGUAGUGACCGGAGAGUCGAGGGUUCGAAUCCCUUCGGGCCCA
rnacentral:tRNA from 1 species